rnacentral:lncRNA from 1 species
AGCUCGGGGUCCAAGGGGCACUCCUGCGGUGCUGCAAAGGAGGAUUUGUGACAACCCAGAGGAUGGAGGAAACGGCGGCUUUGAAAAGAUUCGUGCUGUGCACUAACAUGCAAUACAAAUACUGAUGAAAAUAAAACUAUUGCCCUCCUACCAAAUGAGAAAUUAAUGUUAUGACUGGUUGAAGACAAUUGUGAAGAAACUGCACUUUGAGGUUGUCUAUCUCUGUAUUCUGAUGGAAAAGCGUGGAGUUUAGAAGCACUGCUCGCUCCUUCAGUUUCUAACAAGUUCGAGACUAUGGUUAGGUGGUGAGGAAGGCAGGCUCAGCACCCAAGCCUUGGGGAGAUGCAGAAAGGGCCCAUCCCAGGCACUCAGGUGGAGUAAAACUGAUGCUCCGGAAAGAUGCCCAGGGAGAUUCUGUCCUGCUGCGUCCGCACUGUACAGAACUGACGCUGUGCCUACGCCCGUUUCAGAAGCGUGGAGUACUUAAGAGUUAAUCUAAA